rnacentral:other from 1 species
CAUUUCCUGCAGCGUUCGAGAAUGUACUGGGUGUUUCCUGAACCUGUUAUUACCCCGGGAGCUGAUACUGGUGAUAGUGUGCAUGCCCGUUUUACACGGGAAGCCUGAUAGAGCCAGCCAAGUUCCCACUUGAACUUCCGGUUCAAGGGCGAAAGUACAUCACGGCGCAGGCGGGAGAUGC